AAAAUCCGUGACUUUUAAAAUCGUGAGGGUUCAAGUCCCUCUAUCCCC
rnacentral:tRNA from 1 species